UGUGCUAAAUGUGCUUUAAGGGAAGAAAUAAGAAGGAACGUGCUCUCUUGGCUCGUAUCCUGAGACCGAUUAAUUUGUCAGCGAAGAAAUCCCAGCACUUAUCACGUUCGUUCCAGUCGUAGAUGGCGCCCUACAGUGACAGACAAGAAAGAAAAUUUCGAAAGGAAGGGUUUCGAAGUACGCCUCAAGUAUUUUUUGAGGUCAGUCAUUUGUUUUUUUAGUUUCAAAAAAGAAAUUUGUCUCGCCAAUCUGUCGGGCAACGCAUUAUGACGUCUCACCCUCUCUUAUCUCGAAGAAAAACCACCCCCUCUCAUCCCUCUACUCAUUUGCCUUUAGGAUAUCGACAACCUGUACGAGUAUUAUGCUACAGGUGUUGCAGGAUGGGAUUUCAGACGAUCCUAGACAAUCAAUUUUUACGUUACCCUUUCUCUAUCUCAGUAAAAGGCCACACGUGAUGGCGUCAACUCCUCCAUGUAAUUAAUGACGAAAAUAAAGUUGAAGAUUAAUGCGCACAAUUUCAGACAAGUUGCGCAGUUUUUGGCAAUCACGUGGUUUCAAUAUGCGGUUUCCAAGGAUCCAAAGGAUUGCUUCACUCUGAAGGUUAACAAGUCCACACUGCUGCGCUAGCUGAUUGGAUUUCACACAACACAAAGAUUGGCGACAAGUCCCCAUUUGUAUCGUUUUAAUAUAAAAGAUAACAAACAGAUUCUAAUUAGCGCCUGGCGGAUGCCAUCCUCUGAUAGAACUGCGCAUCGGACGACUUAUUAUCGCCUUUGUUAUGUUUUGAAAAACAGAAAUGGGCCGAACUUUGUUGUGUUAAGAAGGUUAUUGAGCCUAUAUGAGGAAAGAACUUUGACGUUGUAGACAAGUUGAAAAUAGGCCGAGUUUUAUAUAAGAUUCCCAGAAACCGAAUACGUCGAUAACUAUGUUUGUUUAUAUUUACACUAUUCCAAGAUUUUUAAAUAGAGACGCGGAGAGUUUUAUUGCGUUAUGUGAUCUGUUGUGAAAUUCAAACAGCGUCGCAUCAUCGCGAACUUCGCCACUAAAAUGCGUAUUUGAGGAACAUGAGGAAAUAAGAUCCUGUUGUAUUUUUUAAAGACAUACUGUUACCAUCACAAGAAACUUGAUAAUCACGCGUGCUGCCGACGCAUGCGGGUUUAUUUUGAUUCCAACUUCUUCUGAUCGAAGUCAUAAUAAGUUGUUGUUAAUAUUUUAACCCAGUUGCUAUACAUGGCAUUGAAAAACUUGCGACAUGGUAACAUUCAAAAAUAUAUAGCACGAUUGCAUCCUGGAUUUACAUAACGAAAGAUGAAUUUUCCUUUGCGUCUUUUAUAACCUCCCGAGUUUGGGUAACCUAGUUUAAACAAAAUAAAUAGUAUUAGCAACUCGUCACCUUGGCAAACAAGACAUUAGGUUGCAUAAGACGAAUGCAUCAGGAUUUGGGAUUUCCAAGGCAGGUUUUAGGGUUCAAGACAAGUGAGCAUGAAGAGCCAGAAAAACAAGGUGGAAUUUCCAGUAAUAGUUUUGUUUAACUUACUCGUUAUUUACCCUUUUAUUACAAAUAUUGCGAUGGUUUCUCCGGAAACCCGAAUAUGUUUGCAAUGACUUGGGUUUAUUGAGCUCGGUAUAAAAAGGCCUCGACUGAUCGGAAUAAUACCAUAAUUAAUCAUUCGACUCUUCCCGUCCAACAUUCGAAAAAGGAAAUACGCAAAGAUUAGAUAGGAUGGUUCGUCUUGCAGUACUCAUGGUAUUUUUGGCUUUGAUUGUUUGUUCAGCUCUGGCUCAACACAACAAUUAUCAUUACAAUCCGCUAGGCCAUCACCAUCACCACAACGGUCAUCAUCAUGGACAUCAUCAUCAUCAUCAUCAUGGACAUCACCACGACCAUCACCACCACCACCACGGCUAAAUCAGCUACCAAAACGGCCAAAGUACUCCAUAUGUUACAUCUGCGCUAAGGACAAUUGAUAGUAAAGACUCAAUUUUGUAUAUCAAUGUGACACCAGACCAUAUGGUAUUUCAUUUGCGCUUUGACCAGUUGAUAGUAAAGUCACUCAGUUGUGUUACACUGUGACACGUAGAACAAAUAAAAAACUGAAUAUGGAGAAACGA